rnacentral:rRNA from 1 species
UUCCAGCACCCCGAGUGGUCGGGACGUUUAUUGGGCCUAAAGCAUCCGUAGCCGGUUCUACAAGUCUUCCGUUAAAUCCAACUGCUUAACAGGUGGGCUGCGGAAGAUACUAUAGAGCUAGGAGGCGGGAGAGGCAAGCGGUACUCGAUGGGUAGGGGUAAAAUCCGUUGAUCCAUUGAAGACCACCAGUGGCGAAGGCGGCUUGCCAGAACGCGCUCGACGGUGAGGGAUGAAAGCUGGGGGAGCAAACCGG